UUUAUUAUCAAGGCACAUAUAUGUCAUGAUACAAUUGCCUUGAGCUUAAUUUUCUUGCUGGCAUUCACAGUGAAUACAAAGAAACACAAUGGAAUCAAUGAAAAUCUGCCCUCGACAAAGACAGUAAACAACCAAUGUGCAAAAGACAACAAAUUGUACUAAUACAUAAAAAGAAACAAUAAUAAAUAAACAAUAAACAUCAAGAACACAAGUUGUAGAGUCCUUAAAAGUUAGUCCAUAGGUUAUGGAAUCAUUUCAGUAUUUGGUGGAGUGAAGUUAUCCCCUUUAGUUCAAGAGCCUGAUGACUGUAGGAUAACAACUGUUCCUGAACUUUUCAUAUGUGACUUGAGGCUCUUGUAUCUCCUUCCUGAUGGCUGCAGUGAGAAGAGAACAUGGACUGGAUGGUGGGGGUCCUUAAUAAUGGGUGCUGCUUUCCUGUGCCAGUGGCCAUGUUGGCUCCGUAGUUAAGAAGACUUCGGCUGUCAUCAAUCGUGGAAUUGAGUUUAGGGGCCGAGAGGGUCUCGAUCCAGAAUAUCGACUCACACCUUCUGCCAACAUAGAUGCUGCUUGACUCACUGAGUCCUCCCAGCAUUCCGUAUAACAUGAUGUUUAUUUCCCUUGACAAUCUUUAGUCCUUCUUUCCAUUUAAAUCAGAACAUGAAGGGAAAGUUGUUUCACUGGUGGCUGGAACUUACAUUCUUUAAA